rnacentral:rRNA from 1 species
UACGUAGGGUGCAAGCGUUGUCCGGAAUUAUUGGGCGUAAAGGGCUCGUAGGCGGUCCAUCACGUCGGGAGUGAAAAGCUGGGGCUUAACCCCAGUCCUGCUUCCGAUACGGGUGGACUAGAGGUAGGCAGGGGAGAACGGAAUUCCUGGUGUAGCGGUGGAAUGCGCAGAUAUCAGGAAGAACACCGGUGGCGAAGGCGGCUCUCUGGGCCUUACCUGACGCUGAGGAGCGAAAGCAUGGGGAGCGAACAGG